CCGGCGCGUGAGCAUCCUCAACUCGCUGCUUCUUGCAACCACGUGAGCCACGGACAAGUUCUGCUCCGCCAUGACCGAGCUCCUCCGCCAUGUUCCUUCCCGGCGCGGGCCUCUACCUCGCCAUCGUCCGCCGCCGAGCACGCCUCCGUCUCUGCCCGCCUCGCACAGGUGUUCUGCGAGGUCGACGCUGCCCAGUUCCGCUCCGCACGUCUCCGCCUCCGGCCGCUUCAUCCCGCCUGCUUCCUCGUCCUCCAAGGUCGUUCGUCGUCCUUGUCGGCUCGUCCUCCAGGUCACCGGCCGCCUCUUCUAUUCGUUCCCGUUGUUGCUCGCGGCCACGCGCCAUCAAGGUCAUCUCCGACAUUCGUGACUCCGUCGGCAAGAACUCCGUCUUCGGCCGUGUGCGCCGGCAUGCAGCAGCCUCGCCUCGAGCACACAGUAAUCCAAAGCUUCAAGCUUCACCGGUUCCGUCGGAGCUGGAUCAAGAACGCACGCCUCGCUUCAUCGACGUGAUCGCAUCGUAGACCAUCUAGUUCUGCAUCCGCAGGUCGUGUGUUCAGUUCUUGUUCUGGCAGAUAAAAGCCGCCCCUUUUCCUUCUUGAUUCAAUCGCUGACUUGUGAUCUCUGUCCAGCUGAAACUGGCUCCGUUAAAUCGUUAGUCUGCAUCUUGGAUGGCGUUGAAAAGCACAGGCGUCUUCUUCACUUCAACAUCAGCAGCGUAGACCAGCUGCCGGGCCCUGCGCUUCAAUGACCAACGACGCCAACACAGUCUGCAUCCAGUCACCGUCCAGUCAGUUUCCUGGGGCCGUUCGUCAGUCUCUGUGGCUAGCCCUCCGGUGCAUUUGCUUCUUCCCGGAUAGGAUCACGAAGUGGUGUUGUGAGAUACGACGAGUUCUCCGGAUGUCCCUCGGCAAGCUUUAACAGGCAAGCAUUUUCCCCUAUACUCCUGCCCCUGCAGAAGUCGCUCACCUAUUUUAUUUUGCCUUCUCCCUCAUGCUAUCCUUGAGUUGCGUUCUUGUCACGUGUCCCUUCCACUUGUUACCUCAAGCAGCCUAUAUUGCCUCCACCAACCACCUACAGCUAUUGUUUGGUUAUCGGGUCUGCCUUGCGAGUCGUAGUGCAUGCUAGUGUUGUUUAUAUCUCGUUACCGAUACUGCUAUCUUAUCGGGUUAUCUGUUGGGGAACAUGACACAUGGUUUAUGGAUAUAUCUGUUGUGGAUAUCAUGGUUACUUGUUAAUAGUUGUUAGCGGAGACAUCGGUGGGUCAGUUGCUCGUUUUAUGACGGCUCACUUGUGUUUCCUAAAUAUCUUAGGACCCCGAGUUCUUGUUAUCUGUUCCGAGACUGAGCGCUCUAACCACACGUGGGUAUGUUUCUGCGUCUCCCCUCGACCACUGCCGGAAUCUACAGCUUUGUCCAGUGGCCACAACUAGUUUGCAAUGUUUUACCUUUUGUUGUUCGCGUGCAUGCCAGCCUGUUACUUAUUUACUUUGGGAAGCCCCUGGGUGCCUUGUAUCCCUUGUUUCUGGUAUGCACGUAUAGGUCGCGGAGCCGCUGCAAAGUGGUUUAUCGCCCCAGUGUGUGUUUAAACCACCUAGUACGCUGUCGCAAACAGCUAGGUCCGCUUCGGAGAUACGGCCGGACUUCGAUUCGGGUUCAACUUGGUUAGGUGGCUUCCUGGACAUUGUUGUCGUGAAGGAGAGUGCGAGUCGUGAUAUCCACCUGUCGCAAGUGGGUUGAUCGUGCGUGUGGGCACAUUUGGGCACCCCUGCAGGGUUAAAUCUUAUCGAUAAGCCGCGUCCGCGGUUAUGGACGACUUGGAGCUGUAUGACUCGACCAUAGACAACUUACACCUGUUGUUUAUCAAUAAUAACUUGCGUAGUAAGUUAGUACAACUUCAAUAAUAAAUGGUUAAAACUUGUCAAUCGUGUGAGUGCCCUUGUAAGUACUUCCUUGCGAGGGGGGAACACAUCGGCUGUGUUAUGUUUGCGGAGUAUAGAACUGUUAGUUUAUGCGCUCUCUCACCUUCUCUGAUAGACGACUAUUGUAGAGUGUCUCUAUAGGUUUUUAGUGCUUGCGCGCUGCCGCUUAACUCCACCAUAUUGCCUAUGACGUUCCUCUUGCGUCCUCUAAGUCCCCUGCGUGCCUCAAGUACAAAGGACGACUGGUUGACGAAUGCUUACACGUCUUGAAGUCUUGUUAAGUACGAACCCGUACUUAUUGCUGCUUCUACGGGAUAUAACC